GUAUCCGAGGGUUUUAACUGUGUCUCUGUAUCCGAGGGUUUUUAACAGUGUCUCUGUAGCCGAGGGUUUUAACAGUUUCUCUGUAUCCAAGGGUUUUAACAGUGCCUCUGUAGCCGAGGGUUUUAACAAUGUCUCUGUAGCCGAGGGUUUUUAACAGUGUCUCUGUAGCCAAGGGUUCUAACAGUGUCUCCGUAUCCGAGGGUUUUUAACAGUGUCUCUGUAUCCGAGGGUUUGCACUGUGCUCUCUCCACAUGCUCUCCACAGGCUGAUCCGAAGGCUGCAGUGUGACGCCGCAGACGCAGCCGUGUGACGCCGCAGACGCAACUUCCGGGUAGCCGGCUUGGUUUGGUUUGUUUGGUUUGGUUAGCAGGACGCUUAGCGUCGACCUGCUAUCUCGGUUUGUAUCUAUUUUUCGGUAGUUAUAUCUGUGACCUGUUCUGCAUACUCUGUACUGUAUUCGCUGUUUCCUCGCCGGAGCUCCGUCUGCAUCAACCACGGGCUUUUCUGUCCAUUACAGAUACGCUUGGCUUCAAACAGCUCGUCCAGCAACCAACCCACAUCGGUGGAAACACGUUGGAUCUCGUUCUGACCCGCGGUGUUGACAUUUCGCAGCUAGUGGUCUCUUCCUACACCUCAGCUUUAUCAGACCACUUUUUGCUCACUUUCCAGGUGGUGGUAUCCUGCCCCUGCGACAAUCAGCAAGCUACUUUCAGCUGUCGCCGCAUCACACCUGCAACCAUUACAGCCAUGGAAGAUAAGUUAUCUGGUUCACUUGCACCUCUCUGUAACUAUAGUGGUUCUGUGGAGUGCCUUACUGAUGACCUCAACAUUGCCUUGUCUGUUGCCAUUGAUUCAGUUGCUCCGUACGUAACUAAAAAACGAACAUUGAAAAAACCAGCUCGUUGGUUUAAUGCAGAAACUCGCAUUUUGAAGCGAAAUUGCAGGAUCCUUGAACGCAAAUGGCGCUCGACUAAACUUGAGGUCUUUCAUCUUGCAUGGCAUAAUAGUCUGGUCACCUAUAAGGGUGCGCUGACUAUCGCCAGGAAUGCCUACUUUUCUAGUAUCAUUAAUUUGAAUAGAAAUAAUCCUAAGUUUCUUUUUGACACGGUGAGGAGUCUCACUCAGAAACAGAAUCAGACCGUAGGCUCCUCGAUCUCGGCAGGUGAAUUCAUGGAUUUCUUUGAGAAUAAGAUUCAAUCAAUUAGAGAGGAAAUUGAUGCUUACCGGGCGGCUAAUCCUACACAUCCUGUGGGGCAGGAUGGGGUUCUGCCAAGUAGGAUGGUGAACUCUGACGCAACUCUUUUGGAGUUUAAGGCGAUUUCCUUGGUGGAACUUGAAAGGGUGAUAAAGGCCUCAAAGCCAACAACUUGUAUGUUGGAUCCGCUCCCUUCUAGGGUUCUUAAGGAACUUUUUCCAACGGUGGGGCCUGUUAUCCUCUUGCUUAUGAAUCUUUCGUUUUCAACAGGAAUUGUUCCUUCCAAUUUCAAGGCUGCGGUGUUAAAA